rnacentral:rRNA from 1 species
AUGUCCUCCCUGCCGCCCACCCUGACCCUCCCGCUGCCGAACGCGAAGACCGCCCCGAUGGCCACCACGGCCAGUGCCCCGCUCUUGCUGGUACCGGUCACCUCCGUCGCGCCCGUCCCUGUCGUCUUCACCCCGGAGGAGAUGACGGUUGUCAUCCGGGAUCUCACCCAGGCGGUCACGGGCAUCUACACGUUCCUCGCGAGAUCCUAUGGGCCGCAGCCGCCUGUGCCCUUCGCCACUGCCCCGCCGCCGCAGCAGCCGUCAUGGCAGCCACCAUCCUCGGUGACCCCUGUCGCCGCCGCCAUGCAGCAGCUGCCGUGGUAG